UGGGGAAUUUUGGACAAUGGGCGAAAGCCUGAUCCAGCAAUGCCGCGUGUGUGAAGAAGGCCUUCGGGUUGUAAAGCACUUUUGUCCGGAAAGAAAUCCUUGGCUCUAAUACAGUCGGGGGAUGACGGUACCGGAAGAAUAAGCACCGGCUAACUACGUGCCAGCAGCCGCGGUAAUACGUAGGGUGCAAGCGUUAAUCGGAAUUACUGGGCGUAAAGCGUGCGCAGGCGGUUUGCUAAGACCGAUGUGAAAUCCCCGGGCUCAACCUGGGAACUGCAUUGGUGACUGGCAGGCUAGAGUAUGGCAGAGGGGGGUAGAAUUCCACGUGUAGCAGUGAAAUGCGUAGAGAUGUGGAGGAAUACCGAUGGCGAAGGCAGCCCCCUGGGCCAAUACUGACGCUCAUGCACGAAAGCGUGGGGAGCAAACAGGAUUAGAUACCCUGGUAGUCCACGCCCUAAACGAUGUCAACUAGUUGUUGGGGAUUCAUUUCCUUAGUAACGUAGCUAACGCGUGAAGUUGACCGCCUGGGGGAGUACGGUCGCAAGAUUAAAACUC
rnacentral:rRNA from 1 species